rnacentral:misc_RNA from 1 species
UGAAAUAUUCUUAUUCAUUUCAAAUUUCCCGCGAAAUCGCGAGCGCACUUUAUUGGCAUGACUGUUGCACACGCGCAACAAUUAAUGUACAUUCCAAUUCGUAGAGGUUAAUGUGUCUUCCAAUAUUGAAGUUUUUUCAAAGAAAUAUCGCAAACACCAUACUUAUACUAAUUUAUCUUGAAUCCAUGACAAGCAUCGUUGUAAAAAAGUGGGUUCACAGAUUAACAGCGCAGCGAAUAACAACUAUUCGUGAUAUGUCGAAGCAACGAGUGAAAAAGGUUGGGAAGGGUCAACAAGCGGAAAAGGUUGAGGUGAGAACACUUCAAGUUCUGCCAGGAGCUGUAAGCGUUGGAAAGAAUGGGACAGUAAAUAUAAAAAUUCAAGCAAAACCUGGAGCUAAACACAAUAAUAUAACAGAAAUCACUGAUGAUGUUGUGGGUGUUGCAAUAUCGGCACCUCCUGUUGAAGGUGAAGCAAAUACUGAACUGGUGAAAUAUUUAGCAUCAAUUUUGGGCGUCAGGAAGUCCGAUGUGUCAUUGGAUAGGGGAGCAAAAAGUCGCCAUAAGACUGUCAUAGUAGCUGGGAUUACCAUGGAAAGUGUCCUUGAUAAGUUGAAAACAGAAAUGAUAAGUUAGUACAUGUGGAUAUCGUAAAAAUAGAUAACCGUGCAACAACGUAUAUUAUAGACUGGGACGUAUCCACCUCUAUCUAGGCUUACACGACAGAAGACAGGACCUCCAGAGACGCAAGAUACACCUACGCGUUGCUC